GCCUCGCUAGCUCAAUCGGUAGAGCGUGAGACUCUUAAUCUCAAGGUUGCGGGUUCGAUCCCCGCGUGGGGCU